rnacentral:misc_RNA from 1 species
GGGUUAAAUCCUCAGAAAUGUGUAGUGUUAUUAUUGAUAGUGGUAGUUGUGAAGACAUUGUAGUGAAAGAGAUUGUGAAGAAUUUGGGUUUGCUAAUUGAAAAACAUACUAACCCGUACACUCUGGGGUGAAUCAAGACAGCAACUAGUACUAUUGAGGUGAAUGAAAGGUGCAAGGUUUUCUUUUACAUUGGUCAAUAGAAAUAUGAGGUGUAUUGUGAUGUUGUAGACAUGGAUGUGUGCCAUUUGUUGUUUGGGAGGCCAUGGCAAUAUGAGGUCUAUGCACAACACUUCGAAAGAACCAACACCUAUAGCAUCGAGAAGGAAGGGGUGAAGUAUUCUCUUUUGCCAUUAAAAAACAAAUCAACAAAGAAGGAGGUGCGUACCUUCUUAGCAGUCACUAAAGAGUUUGUGGUGGAGGCCGAGGAAACAAAGCAAGUCCAUGCUUUGGUUGUGAAGCAAAUCCUUAUGGGGAAGUCAAAAUCCCAAGUGGAGGAGCCUCCCAAGCUAGUAAGAGCAUCAUUGAAGGAGUUUAAGGAGUUGAUGUCGAAUGACAUAUCGGAUGGAUUGCCUCCCAUGCGUGAUAUCCAAUAUCACAUUGAUCUUAUUCCGGGUGCUAGCUUUGCCAAAUUUGCCUCACUAUCGCAUGAGUUCUAAGGAGAGAGAGAUACUCAAGGAGAAAGUGGAGGAGCUCUUGUGAAAAGGGGCUUAUCGAGGAAAACAUGAGUUCAUGUGUUGUUCCCGCAUUGUUAACACCUAAGAAGGAUGUGAGUAGGAGUAUGUGUGUAGAUAGCCGUGCCAUCAACAACAUUACGGUGGGCUAUAAAUUCCCAAUUCCUAGAUUGGAUGAUAUGUUGGAUCAAUUGCAUAGUGCUAGAUGGUUCACCAAGCUAGAUUUGAAGAAUGGGUACCAUCAAAUACACGUAGCCUAGUGAUGAAUGGAAAAUAGCAUUCAAGACAAAGGAGAGGCUGUAUGAGUGGCUUGUCAUGCCAUUCAGGUUUUCAAAUGCACCUAGUACCUCCAUGAGAUUGAUGAACCUUUUAUUGGGCACUUUGUGAUUUUUUAUGUUGAUGACAUUUAAUAUAGCAAGUCAGAAGAGAACCACUUAAUGCAUUUGAGGAAGGUGUUAUUAGCCUUGUAGGAGAACAAUCUAUACGUCAACCUUAAGAAGUGUAGUUUCUUGACCAACAAACUACUGUUCUUGGGGUAUGUUAUGAGCACAGAAAGCAUAUAAGUAGAUUAGGCAAAGGUCAAAACAUUCAAAGAGUGGUCAACCCUUACUAUUGUUUCAAAGGUUCGUCCAUGGGUUAGCCACAUUCUAUCGGUGGUUUAUCAAAGAUUUCAGCACCAUAGUGGUGCCAAUGACCGAGUGCCUAAAGGAGGAAAAGUUCCAAUGGGGCAAGGAGGCUGCAAAUAGCUUUGCAAUUCUCAAGGAAAAGCUAUGCACUGCACUGGUCCUAGCUUUACCAAACUUUGAUAAGCUAUUUGAAGUGGAUUGUGAUACAAGUGGAAUCAGGAUUGGAGCGGUUUUAUCCCAAGAGAAAAGGCCUGUGGCAUAUUUCAGUGAAAAGCUAAGUGAUGCUAGGAGGAAUUAGAGCACCUAUGGCAAAGAGUUCUAUUCGGUGGUUUGUGCUUUUGAAAAUUGGGAGCAUUAUUUGAUAGGUAAAGAGUUCAUCUUGUAUUCAGACCGCGAGGCCUUAAAGUAUCUAAAUAGCCAAAAGAGGAUUAGUAGGGAUAUGCAUACAGGGUGGUGUCAAUUCUUGCAACGAUUUCCUUUUAAGCUCAAGCACAAAUCUGGAGUUCAAAAUCGGGUAGCGGAUGCUUUGAGUAGGACUAGCUGAGUAGUUCAAAAUUGGUGACUUUGAGCCAUGAGAUUGUGGGGUUUGAGCAACUAAAGGAACUCUACGCCAAUGAUGAGGACUUUGGAAAAAUAUGGGGUAAGUGUUCUCAAGGCUAUCCUUGUGAAAAUUUUUAUGUGCUUGAUGAGUAUUUGAUGCAUGAGAACCAGCUUUGCCUUCCUCGAACCUCGUUAUGAGAGAAGGUAAUCCGAGAUUUGCAUGGAGGGGGACUAACUGCCCAUUUGGGAAGAGAUAAGACCAUUGCAGCAGUGGAAAAAAGAUAUUUUUGGCCUAGAUUGAGCAAGGAUGUAAUCAGGUUUGUCAUGAAGUGUUUUACUUAUUAAACUUUUAAGGGACAAUCUCAAAAUAACGGUUUAUACAUGCCUUCGCCUACACCUGAAAAUAUUUGGGAAAUUUUGUGUUGGGAUUGCCAAUAACACAAAGGGGAGUGGAUUCGGUGUUUGAGGUUGUUGAUAGAUUUUUCAAGAUGACACAUUUUAUUCCUGGUAGAAAGACUUUCGAUGCAAUUCAUGUUGCUAAAUUGUUCUUCAAGGAAGUGGUUCGGUUGCAUGGGGUGCCUAAGUUAAUCACUUUAGAUCGAGAUAGUAAGUUCUUGGGACACUUUUGGAGGACCUUGUGGAAACUUUGUGAUUCAUCUUUGAAUUUCAGUAGUAUAGCACAUCCUCAAAGUGAUGGCCAAACCAAAGUAGUCAAUCGCACAUUGGGAAAUCUAAUUCGAAGCAUUUGUGGAGAUAAACCCAAGCAAUGGGAUGUGGCUUUGCCCCAAGUUGAAUUUGCCUACAAUAGUGCCAUUCAUAGCGCUAUUGGAAGGUCUCCAUUUUCAAUGGUAUACACAAAAGUGUCUCAACAUACUCUUGACUUGGUCAAAUUGCCUAAAGAAGAUGGAAAGAGUGUAGCAGCCAAGCAGAUGGCGAAACGAGUUGUUGAGGUGCACACAGAGGUAAAGUUGAAGCUGGAAGAGGCUAAUAAGAAGUAAGAAGCAGCAGCUGAUAAACACAAGCGAAAGCAAGUGUUUGAGGUGGGUGACAAGGUGAUGGUGUUCCUAAGGCGUGAAAGGUUUCCUGUGGGUUUUUAUAGCAAGUUGCAACCGAAGAAAUAUGGAUCUUAUAAAAUUGUCAAACAAAUCAAUGACAACGUGUAAGUUGUUGAUUUGCCGGAUGGCAUGAGAAUUUCGUGUAUUUUCAAUAUAGUUGAUUUGUUUCCAUACUACUUCAUGGAUGAGCCUUUGUCUCCAUGGAUGAGCCUUUGUAUCCGCCUAAUGACUUGAACUCAAGGUUGAGUCUUUCCCAAGUGGAGGAGACUGAUGUGGAAUGUAUUAGUGAUAAUUUUAUUGGAAAAUUGGAGAAGGUUCAAAGGAAAAAACAAAGGAAGCAUUCUGGAAUGAAAAUUGGAGAAAAACAAUAAGUUUGAGGCGAGUUUUGGUGGGCAGUAAGAGGAGCUACGUUUUUUAAUUAAUUUUUUUUUAUCUCCAGCAGUUCUAGAUCAACUUGGACUCCCUGUUUAGCAAGAGUAAUUAUUUCAGAAUUAAUUUUGAGGUUUUUCCUAUCUAUUUAGGAUUUAAUCAUGUCUUCUACUUAGAGUUGGACUAGUUAAUUUUCUACUUUAUCUUUAUUUUCUUAAUGCAUUUGGAUUUAGUUUAAAUUCCUAUUUAGUAGAGCUAUUUUCUUAUUAGGAUUGAGAGUCUAAAACUCUAUAAAUACUCCAAAAACUACGUAUUAGAGAUUCAGAUUUCAAUUUAUAAAUUUUCAGCAGAUAUUUUACUCUCAAAUUCUCUCUUAGGUGUGUGUGUGUGUGUGAGUGAUUUCUUUAGCUUCUCUGCAUCAGAUAUGCUUGUAAAUCCUUGGCUGUGUUUACCACCAGAGUUACAGUAGUGAAAAACUUUAUGAUCACAAGUCAUGUUUGUGGAGCAAAUAACUCUACAUUUGUGCUGGGAUAUUCUUGGUUUUAUGGUUAACCGAGGUUAUACUAGAGGGGCUGUAAUUUUCUUGCAUGUGAAAUCCAAGUGUUAGUAUUGGAAAGGUUACAUGCUUAUCUUUCUAGCCAUAUCAGAUAAGCAGCGAACUGUAUGUCUGCAUUCAGUUUCUUGCACAUAAUAAAGGCAAGCAUUUUCAAAUUGGUUUUGACAUCUGCUGAUAAGCAAAGGCUUUUUUUAGUUAUGGAAUUAACCCUCCUUGAUUCGUCAGUUGGCCUCAGGAGCAAUGGAGAAGAAGAAUAAUGUACCUGCAGGUCAAUCUUCUGGUUAGUUUUUUAUGACUUCUAAAAGUUUUUUAUGGGGUAUUUAACUCUGCAGUUAUUUUAACUAAUAUAAGUUAACUAAUUUAAUUUAUUAUGGUGACAUUUGUAUGAAUUUUUAGAUUCUGGUGAUGCCCCUGUUAUUUGAGGUUUCUUUGUGGCAUGGAAAUGCAUAAUCAAAUUAUUUGCUAGGCUUAUUAAUUUAUAGUUGUGCUUGAUAGAUUGGGGCGUCUUUUUGUGCUGUGUUGAAUUUUAUGUAAUUUAGUAAUUAAUCGUUCAUUUUGCCUCUGGUUUGCAGGAGUUGCACGAGGCAAUAUUACACAGAGACCUGAAUUUGAAGCCAAAGUUGCAAAGCUUGUUGAGUUAGGCUUUGGAAGGGAGGCAGUAGUACAAGCUCUCAAGUUUUUUGAUGGUAACGAAGAACAAGCUGCCGGAUAUCUAUUUGGGGGUUGAUUAUUUUCCCUUUUCUGUCAUAGAAUUAAGAUUUGUGGCUUAAUUUGUAUACUCAAAACAUUUUUUGGGCAUUCAAACUCAUCUUAGAAAUUAAUUAUUAUUGUUGGACACAAAAUUAACCUUGUUGUCCUGCUGAUGGAUUUGCUCAGGGAGUGGAAUUCAAGGUGAAUUAUUUGGUUAUAUGGUUUGGUUGGAU